rnacentral:rRNA from 1 species
AGGACGAACGCUGGCGGCGUGCUUAACACAUGCAAGUCGAGGCGAGGCCCUCUCUUCGGAGAGGUGCCCUAGCGGCGAACGGGUGAGUAACACGUGGCAACCUGCCCCUAGCACUGGGAUAAGCCCGGGAAACCGGGUCUAAUACCGGAUAUGAUCUUCGAGGGCAUCCUUGAAGAUGUAAAGGAUUCUGGCUAGGGAUGGGCCCGCGGCCUAUCAGCUUGUUGGUGGGUAACGCCCACCAAGGCAACGACGGGUA